rnacentral:misc_RNA from 1 species
UGUCUGCCUACCAUUGUGCGUGAGUUCCAUCGCCAAGCCAGCGCUGCACACUUGUUCACAUCAAAGUACUCCAAGGAUGACCAUAUGCUUGAGUCCGAAUCCUCGAAGGCAUUUGGGGGACCCGAGCGGUUGGAUAUGUUCUUUCCAUUCGACCCCUACUUGCUUAAAGAAUCCGACAGGUUCAUUCGGCCGAAUUUCGAGUAUUGGUACAUGGUGAGGACGACAUACAGCGAUUUCAGCAGUGAACAUGA